AUUGAACGCUGGCGGCAGGCCUAACACAUGCAAGUCGAACGAGUGGCGGACGGGUGAGUAAUGUCUGGGAAACUGCCCGAUGGAGGGGGAUAACUACUGGAAACGGUAGCUAAUACCGCAUACCAUCGGAUGUGCCCAGAUGGGAUUAGCUAUGAGGUGGGGUAACGGCUCACCUGGGCGACGAUCCCUAGCUGGUCUGAGAGGAUGACCAGCCACACGGGACAGGAGACACGGUCCAGACUCCGACGGGCGGCAGCAGUGGGGAAGAGUGCACAAUGGGAGCAAGCCGGAUGCAGCCAUGCCGCGUGUAUGAAGAAGGCCUUCGGGUUGUAAAGUACUUUCAGCGAGGAGGCGUUACUCGCAGAAGAAGCAUCGGCUAACUCCGUGCCAGCAGCCGCGGUAAUAC
rnacentral:rRNA from 1 species